rnacentral:rRNA from 1 species
UACGAAGGACCCGAGCGUUAUCCGGAUUUAUUGGGCUUAAAGGGUGCGUAGGUGGGUUGGUAAGUCAGUGGUGAAAUACUUUCGCUUAACGAAGGAACUGCCAUUGAUACUACCAGUCUUGAAUACAGUGGAGGUAGGCGGAAUGCGUCAUGUAGCGGUGAAAUGCUUAGAUAUGACGCAGAACACCAAUUGCGAAGGCAGCUUGCUACACUGUUAUUGACACUGAGGCACGAAAGCGUGGGGAUCAAACAGG